rnacentral:lncRNA from 1 species
AUCUGCAUAACGAUUGUCUUGUUUGAUUUUCAAAGUGCCUUUUUAUACUCAAAAUCAUUAUGCAGGUUGUUUCUUAAACCCAUUGAACAUAGUGAUCGGACGUCAUCUCCCAAUUUUGAAUUCCCUGUAUUCGAAGCGGACGAAGAUGAUGUUGAAGGGAUUCCCGACGAGAUUUCCCGACUUCUUGAGCAAGAAAAGAAGAUCACUCAGCUGCAUCUCAAGAAUCAGCAGAACAGCCAACUGGGGCAUCAAAAAAAGAAAGUAAAAAAGAAAAGAAAAGAGAGGGUGCAAAAUCGAAAGAAAUCAAAAAAAAAGAAAUCAAUCAAAUCAAAAAAUCAAAAGAAAGAAAAAC